rnacentral:rRNA from 1 species
GAUGAACGCUGGCGGCGUGCCUAAUACAUGCAGGUCGAGCGAACAGACGAGGAGCUUGCUCCUCUGACGUUAGCGGCGGACGGGUGAGUAACACGUGGAUAACCUACCUAUAAGACUGGGAUAACUUCGGGAAACCGGAGCUAAUACCGGAUAACAUGUUGAACCGCAUGGUUCAACAGUGAAAGACGGUCUUGCUGUCACUUAUAAAUGGAUCCGCGCCGCAUUAGCUAGUUGGUAAGGUAACGGCUUACCAAGGCAACGAUGCGUAGCCGACCUGAGAGGGUGAUCGGCCACACUGGAACUGGAACACGGUCCAGACUACUACGGGAGGCAGCAGUAGGGAAUCGUCCGCAGUGGGCGAAAGCCUGACGGAGCAACGCCGCGUGAGUGAAGAAGGUCUUCGGAUCGUAAAACUCUGUUAUUAGGGAAGAACAAAUGUGUAAGUAACUAUGCACGUCUUGACGGUACCUAAUCAGAAAGCCACGGCUAACUACGUG